rnacentral:rRNA from 1 species
AGUGGCGGACGGGUGCGUAACGCGUAUGCAACUUACCCACUACUGGGAAAUAGCCCGGGGAAACUCGGAUUAAUGUCCCAUAAUGCAGGGGAUCCGCAUGGAUCUAUUGUUAAAGAUUUAUUGGUAGUGGAUGGGCAUGCGUAGGAUUAGCUAGUUGGUAGUGUAAUGGACUACCAAGGCUACGAUCCUUAGGGGGUCUGAGAGGAUGAUCCCCCACACUGGUACUGAGAUACGGACCAGACUCCUACGGGAGGCAGCAGUAGGGAAUAUUGGGCAAUGGGUGAGAGCCUGACCCAGCCAUGCCGCGUGCAGGAAGACGGCCCUCAGGGUUGUAAACUGCUUUUCUACGGGAAGAAAGAGGUUGUGCGCAACCAGUUGACGGUACCGUAGGAAUAAGCACCGGCUAACUCCGUGCCAGCAGCCGCGGUAAUACGGAGGGUGCAAGCGUUGUCCGGAUUUAUUGGGUUUAAAGGGUACGUAGGCGGGCGUCUAAGUCAGUGGUGAAAGCCUACCGCUCAACGGUGGAAUUGCCAUUGAUACUGGAUGUCUUGAGUAUAGUUGAGGUGGGCGGAAUUCAUGGUGUAGCGGUGAAAUGCAUAGAUACCAUGAGGAAUACCGAUAGGGAAGCCAGCUCACUGGACUAUUACUGACGCUAAGGUACGAAAGCGUGGGGAGCGAACAGGAUUAGAUACCCU